UACGAAGGGGACUAGCGUUGUUCGGAAUCACUGGGCGUAAAGCGCACGUAGGCGGAUGUGUCAGUCAGGGGUGAAAUCCCGGGGCUCAACCUCGGAACUGCCUUUGAUACAGCACGUCUCGAGUCCGGAAGAGGUGGGUGGAAUUCCUAGUGUAGAGGUGAAAUUCGUAGAUAUUCGCAAGAACACCAGUGGCGAAGGCGGCUCACUGGUCCGGUACUGACGCUGAGGUGCGAAAGCGUGGGGAGCAAACAGG
rnacentral:rRNA from 1 species